GCAUAUCCAAUAAGCGGAGGAAAAGAAACCAACAGGGAUUGCCCUUAGUAACGGCGAAGUGAAGCGGCAACAGCUCAAAUUUGAAAAUCUGGCUCUUUCAGAGUCCGAGUUGUAAUUUGCAGAGGGUGCUUUGGUGGUAGUUGCGGUCUAAGUUCUUUGGAACAGGACGUCACAGAGGGUGAGAAUCCCGUAUGUGGUCGCUACUUAUCACCGUGUAAAAGCCCCUUCGACGAGUCGAGUUGUUUGGGAAUGCAGCUCUAAAUGGGAGGUAAAUUUCUUCUAAAGCUAAAUACUGGCCAGAGACCGAUAGCGCACAAGUAGAGUGAUCGAAAGAUGAAAAGCACUUUGGAAAGAGAGUCAAAUAGCACGUGAAAUUGUUGAAAGGGAAGCGCUUGCAGCCAGACUUGCCUGUAGUUGCUUACCUAGACUUUUGUCUGGGGUACUCUUCUGCAGGCAGGCCAGCAUCAGUUUGGGCGGUUGGAUAAAGGUCUCUGUCACGUACCUCCUUUCGGGGAGGCCUUAUAGGGGAGACGUCAUACAACCAGCCUGGACUGAGGUCCGCGCAUCUGCUAGGAUGCUGGCGUAAUGGCUGUAAGCGGCCCGUCUUGAAACACGGACCAAGGAGUCUAACAUCUAUGCGAGUGUUUGGGUGUCAAGCCCAUACGCGUAAUGAAAGUGAACGGAGGUGGGAACCUUAGGGUGCACCAUCGACCGAUCCUGAUGUCUUCGGAUGGAUUUGAGUAAGAGCAUGGCUG
rnacentral:rRNA from 1 species